AUUGAACGCUGGCGGCAUGCCUUACACAUGCAAGUCGAACGGCAGCACGGGUGCUUGCACCUGGUGGCGAGUGGCGAACGGGUGAGUAAUACAUCGGAACAUGUCCUGUAGUGGGGGAUAGCCCGGCGAAAGCCGGAUUAAUACCGCAUACGAUCCACGGAUGAAAGCGGGGGACCUUCGGGCCUCGCGCUAUAGGGUUGGCCGAUGGCUGAUUAGCUAGUUGGUGGGGUAAAGGCCUACCAAGGCGACGAUCAGUAGCUGGUCUGAGAGGACGACCAGCCACACUGGGACUGAGACACGGCCCAGACUCCUACGGGAGGCAGCAGUGGGGAAUUUUGGACAAUGGGCGAAAGCCUGAUCCAGCAAUGCUGCGUGUGUGAAGAAGGCCUUCGGGCUGUAAAGCACUUUUGUCCGGAAAGAAAUCCUUGGCUCUAAUACAGUCGGGGGAUGACGGUACCGGAAGAAUAAGCACCGGCUAACUACGUG
rnacentral:rRNA from 1 species